rnacentral:tRNA from 1 species
GGGCGAGUAGUCUAGCUCGGAUAAGGCACCAGACUUCGGAUCUGGAGGUCGCAGGUUCAAGUCCUGCCUCGCCCGCCA